GACGAACGCUGGCGGCGUGCUUAAUACAUGCAAGUCUUAGGGCUUAACUUCCUUCGGGGAGUUGAGCACUGGCGCACGGGUGAGUAACGCGUAAGUAAUCUGCCCUUGGGUCUGGCAUAACUUCGGGAAACCGGAGCUAAUUCCAGAUGAUAUCGCAAGAUCAAAGGUUUCGACUGCCCAAGGAUGAGCUUGCGUCUGAUUAGCUUGUUGGCGGGGUAAUGGCCCACCAAGGCGACGAUCAGUAGCCGGUCUGAGAGGAUGAUCGGCCACAUUGGGACUGAGACACGGCCCAGACUCCUACGGGAGGCAGCAGUAAGGAAUAUUGCGCAAUGGACGAAAGUCUGACGCAGCAACGCCGCGUGCAGGAUGAAGGCCCUUCGGGUCGUAAACUGCUGUAGCAGGGG
rnacentral:rRNA from 1 species